GAUGAACGCUGGCGGCGUGUCUAAUACAUGCAAGUCGAGCGAACAGACGAGGAGCUUGCUCCUUUGACGUUAGCGGCGGACGGGUGAGUAACACGUGGGUAACCUACCUAUAAGACUGGGAUAACUUCGGGAAACCGGAGCUAAUACCGGAUAAUAUUUCGAACCGCAUGGUUCGAUAGUGAAAGAUGGCUCUGCUAUCACUUAUAGAUGGACCUGCGCCGUAUUAGCUAGUUGGUAAGGUAACGGCUUACCAAGGCAACGAUACGUAGCCGACCUGAGAGGGUGAUCGGCCACACUGGAACUGAGACACGGUCCAGACUCCUACGGGAGGCAGCAGUAGGGAAUCUUCCGCAAUGGGCGAAAGCCUGACGGAGCAACGCCGCGUGAGUGAUGAAGGUCUUCGGAUCGUAAAACUCUGUUAUUAGGGAAGAACAAACGUGUAAGUAACUGUGCACGUCUUGACGGUACCUAAUCAGAAAGCCACGGCUAACUACGUG
rnacentral:rRNA from 1 species